AUUGAACGCUGGCGGCAGGCCUAACACAUGCAAGUCGAACGAGUGGCGGACGGGUGAGUAAUGUCUGGGAAACUGCCUGAUGGAUGGGGAUAACUACUGGAAACGGUAGCUAAUACCGCAUACCAUCGGAUGUGCCCAGAUGGGAUUAGCUAGUAGGUGGGGUAACGGCUCACCUAGGCGACGAUCCCUAGCUGGUCUGAGAGGAUGACCGGCCACAUGGGAACUGAGACACGGUCCAGCUUCCUACGGGAGGCAGCAGUGGGGAAUUUUGCACAAUGGGCGCAAGCCUGAUGCAGCCAGGCCGCGUGUAUGAAGAGGGCCUUCGGGUUGUAAAGUACUUUCAGCGGGGAGGCGUUACCCGAAGAAGAAGCACCGGCUAACUCCGUGCCAGCAGCCGCGGUAAUAC
rnacentral:rRNA from 1 species